GCCCGGAUAGCUCAGUUGGUAGAACAUGAGACAUAAUCUCAGGGUUCUGGGUUCAUGUUCCAUGUCGGGCA